UAAAGUAUCAAUAAGUUGUUGGUUGCUG
rnacentral:sRNA from 1 species